AACAUGAAUCUUAUUAAAAAUUGUUCAAGACAAAAAUGGGAAUUAUAUCAACACAGAAAAUACUCUCUCAGAAAUAACUACUUUUUUACCUUAGGUUCUAAUAUCUUCACUUUAAGUACUAAUAGGUACACUUUAGGUACAAAUGUGUAACUUUUGGAAAUUAUAUCAUAUCAGUACAAACAAUAUAUUAAAAUAAACGGUGUAAAUAAAAAUGCUUUUUAAAUAUUAAAUUGCAUUUUCUAAAAUGUAAAAAAAAAAAAUAUAUAAUAUAUUUUUCACCAAUAUUGAGUCCUUUGAUGUGACAAAAAUCCAUAAUUCUGAGAUAAUUAUAAAUACUUCUUUUACCUUAUAAAACUACUCCAAAUCACAUAAAAAAAAUUGAUUGAAUUACCAUUAUUUCACAUGCAUUUUUCAUUAAAAGUGAAGACAUAAAUUUAAAAAAUAGUAUUAGUAACUUAACCUAUUUAUUUCAACUAUGCUUAUUUUUACUAAUUAAAAGUAGAAAACAAUUAAAUGGUCACCAGUCAAAUGUUUAAUUUGUUUAAUGUCUUUCUGGCUACACACUCAACUCUUUAUGUACAGUGAAAUAAGAACAACAUAUUAAUUAUUUUCAAAUAACUGUCAUCAGUGCCUGUGUGUCUUCAUGGAGCAAUAUCAGUCCGCUUUAAGACCGGACGGCCUCUCUAUGUGGCACUCGGCCGAACUCUUGUUUUGGAAGUCGAAUUCAAGAAGGACUCGGACGACAAAAUAGACAUGGUGACGUGGGACCGCGAGAGAGGAAAUGACAAUGUCAGACUGUCACGUGGAAACAGAAUAUCUUUGGAGAACGGAGAUGCACUUCUGCGGGUCACUGAUGUUGCAGAAGGGGACCUUGCGAUCUACAAAGUCACCGUUACAGACAGUAACGGAUACCAGCAGCACGACUCCAUAGAAGUACGAAAGACAGUGGAAUCUCCAAAGGCGUCAAUUACACGUGUGCUGGAGUGUGUUGUGGAUAAUCAUGGCAUGACUCAGUGGGACAGCCCUCAGUUUUCAUGGCUGGUUGAUGGUGUUACAGUAACCAAUCAAUCCGCCCUGUUAACUAAUGGCAGUAGACUAGAUAUCUCUGGGAUUAAGGGUGUUAACUACACCUGCAUCAUCAACAGCAGCCUGGGGACACUCACAACACAUUAUGAAAUGCCAAAAGGUAUUGUUCAAUAUCAGAAUGUGUUAACCCAUACUCGGAAUUGUUGCUCUGCAUUUAACCCAUCCAAGUGCACACACACAGCAGUGAGAAGUGAACACACCGUGAACACACACCCGGAGCAGUGGGCAGCUAUAUCCAGCGCCUGGGGAGCAACUGGGGGUUCAGUGCCUUGCUCAAGGGCACUUCAGCCAUGGAUAUUGAGAGUGGAAGAGAGCGCUGUUCAUUAACUCCCUCCCACCUACAACUCCUGCCAGCACCGAGACUCGAACCUGCGACCUUCGGGUUACAAGUCCAACUCUCUAACCAUUAGGCCACAGCUGCCCUAUUUAGAAGAAAAAAGUCACUUUUGACUUCAAAAUGUUCACCACACAAUGCAAAAACAAUUAAAAAUAGAAAAAAAGGCAACACUUUACAAUAACAUCCCAUUAGUUAACUUUAGUUAAAGGAAUAUUUCAAUUCAAUUAAAUUCAAUUCAAGUUUAUUUGUAUAGCGCUUUUUACGAUACAAAUCAUUACAAAGCAACUUUACAGAAAAUUAAGUUUCUACAAUAUUUAGUAGUAGCUUAUCAGUGGUGACUGUCAUUUCAUGUGCAUAUAGCAGAAAUGUUCAGAAAAAUCAAUAAAAAGACGUAAACAAACAGACGAUUAACACUAUUAACAGCAAUUAUGCAAUCAAACUUAUAGCAAAAUGUGGUAGUUCUGUAUGUUGUCUCUGGGUUAGCAUCAUCUGAGGUCCUCUGAGGGGUUGGCAUCAUCUCUUCUCAGGUGUUCUGGAUCCAGACUGGAGCUUGUGUAAAUCCUAGUUACAAAACAGAGAAACACAUAAUUAGCGUAGCUGCUGUUCCAGCCGAGUAAUAUUAAUUCGUUUAACCCAAGCUAAAGAAUAAUAAUGCACAUUUGAUCAGAUAUAACUGCAGUCCAAAAUUAUGAGAUGCAUUAUUUGAAUGCUUGGCCAAAGAGGUGUGUUUUUAAUCUAGAUUUAAACAGAGAGAGUGUGUCUGAGCCCCGAACAUUAUCAGGAAGGCUAUUCCAGAGUUUGGGAGCCAAAUGCGAAAAAGCUCUACCUCCUUUAGUGGACUUUGCUAUCCUAGGUACUAUCAAAAGUCCAGCGUUUUGUGACCUUAGGGAGCGUGAUGGGUUGUAGCGUGGUAGAAGACUAGUUAGGUACGCAGGAGCUAAGCCAUUAAGGGCCUUAUAAGUAAGUAAUAAUAUUUUGUAACUGAUACAGAACUUAAUAGGUAGCCAGUGCAGAGACUGUAGUAUUGGGGUAAUAUGAUCAUAUUUUCUUGACCUGGUAAGGACUCUAGCCGCUGCAUUUUGGACUACCUGUAGCUUGUUUAUUGAGGAUGCAGGACAACCACCUAGCAGUGCAUUACAAUAGUCCAGUCUAGUGGUCAUGAAUGCAUGAACUAGCUUUUCUGCAUCAGGAACAGGUAACAUGUUUCGUAGCUUGGCAAUGUUUCUAAGAUGGAAGAAUGCUGUUUUUGUAACAUGGGAAAUAUGAUUUUCAAAAGACAAGUUACUGUAAGUAACAGUACAUCCGUCUAGUUGCAAAUUGUAAUCUACGAGAUUCUGUGUAAUGUUUUCUGGUCCAAUAAGUAAUAUCUCUGUCUUAUCUGAAUUUAAUAGGAGAAAAUUAUUGGUCAUCCAAUCUUUUACAUUUUUAACACACUCUGUUAGCUUAGAUAAUUUAGAAGUUUCACCUGGUCUUGUUGAGAUAUAUAGUUGAGUAUCAUCAGCAUAACAGUGGAAACUAAUCCCGUAUUUUCUAAUGAUAUUACCAAGGGGCAACAUGUAUAUUGAAAAUAGCAGAGGACCUAGGACAGAUCCUUGUGGCACUCCAUAUUUUACUGGUGAUAAAUGAGAUGACUCCCCAUUUAGAUAAACAAAGUGGUAGCGAUCGGACAGGUAGGAUCUAAACCAUCUUAAAGCCUGCCCUUGGAUACCUGUAUAGUUUUGUAAUCUAUCUAUGAGUAUGUCGUGAUCUAUGGCCGACAUCGAGGC
rnacentral:lncRNA from 1 species